GAAAUUACUCAAUAGAAUACAGAUUACCCUACUGAUCUACUCUUAGAGAUCCUGUAAAUCUAACAAUGGUACCAGAGCCAUAAUCUAGGUGUUGAUCUAGUUGGGGAAAAGUUUUAAUCAACGAAAAUGAAAAGAGAUCGAAUCUGUUUGGAUUUAGAAAUAAAACAACAGAAAAGAAAGCGAAAUGGCGACUGGAUUUACCCCUGCAAAAGGAAACAGAAACAGCCCUCACGUCAAAUCAAAAAGAAAGAAAGAAAAGGAAGCACUCACGUGCAAGUGCAGGGGCCUUGCCUUGCCGUUCGGCUGCCUGCUGGCCGCGUGCAGGACACGGGCUGGGUGGAGGCCGCCGGAUUCUCGCCAUUUCGGCUGCCUCGUCUCUCUCUGCUGCUGGCCGCAUGGCGGCUGCCUCGUCUCUCUGCUGGCCGCGCGCAGGCCACGGGUUGAAAGGAGACCGCCGCCAGCGUAGCCGUUGUUUCCUCCCAGCGCUAGACAGAAGAUGGCGGCACUCUUGGACUCGGCGUCCAUGGCGUCUGCUGUCGAGGGAGCUGGAGCUGGAGCUCGAGGCCCGCUAGGCCAUGGCGGCGUGCGCAAAGUUAGGGCCGAGGGCGAGGCCU
rnacentral:lncRNA from 1 species